AGUCAUAUCAUGUGGAAACACCGGUUCUCGUACAUCCACCGAAGUUAAGCAACAUUGAGUCUAGUCAAUACCUAGAUGGGUGACAGCUUGGGGAUAUCAGGUGGUGUCA